GUGAUCUUUCUUGAAAGAGAUUCAGAAAGGAGAUUUGAUGUGCUGCAACUGUUGAUCAUACCUGCACGAGAAAGGUGUUGUUGAGUUGAUCUUUGUGGGCUUGACUUCCUGUUAAAGACUGCUACUUUGUUGUAGGCUUGGCAUCCUUUGAAGACUACUGUGUUGAUAGGCUUAGCAUCCUGUGAAGAGUGUUGGUGAUACGUUGAGGAUUGUUCGACGUGGGUUCAGAUUACAGAAGAGGGGAUUCUUGCUGCAAGUUUGGUUUUGUAUUGCAACUAUAAUUGGUUUUGGGUUAGAGAGGAGAUUUAUAUUUUUGCGUGUGGCUUCUAUAAAUUCCUUGUUGUAAAAACCGCAACCAUUAUAGUGCAUUUGCUUCCUGAGUUGGAAGGAUAUUGGAUGUAGGCAUUGUUGGCCGAACCAGUAUAAACCAGUGUUUGAUUUUCUCUAUCCCUGCACUCUUUUACUUCAGUCGACUAUAUAUAUCUGUUACGCAGUCAACUACGUUUUUCCUCUACUUACAUUUUCUGAAUUGCUUGCAUUUCAAGAAACUUUGAAAAGCUUUAUACUUUGAUUGCAAGAUUGCGAAAACACUGUUAUUUUGAAACAUCACCAUCUCACCCCCUCCGCCCCCCCUCUUGGUGUUCAAAGAAGCCUACCUGUUUACCUAACAAUUGGUAUCAGAGUUGGUUUUCAUAAGAUAUUUGAAAAUUUAGUCGACUUUGUGUUUUUUGUAUUCGACUAUAAAACCUGGGGAUGGCUUCCUAUUUUCAAACUUUUGGUGAAGGUGCUUCAACAAAAAGACCACCUUUUUUUACAGGCGAAAAUUAUCCUUUUUGGAAAAUUAGAAUGCAAAUUUUUCUUGAAUCGCAAGACAAAGGAAUAAUGACCUCUCUCUCCACACUUAAAACAUCUAGGCUCUCUACCCCUUGGUUCUUUUGAAGACUCUUUGUGAGGGGUAUUUCGUUCUCGCUCUCUCUCUUUUUCUUUACCUCUCACUUUCUCCUUUUCUUUUUGUUUUUUCUUUGUCUUGAAGUUUUUCAUACCUCACUGGACUACCCUCCCUCUUAUGAUCUUUCCUAUACUCGAAGGUGGUAGGGUAAGUCCUUUUAGUGGAAGCUUUUCUUCUAAGCUGCUUUUCCACUCUCACACAUAGUUGGACAAAGUCAUUUAGAUCUAGGUAAGGUAAGAGUUCUUCUACCUUGUCUCUAAUCUCAUAGUUUAAUCCACUCUAAAAUCUAGCUAUGGUGAAUCUCUCCUCUUCUUUUAUCCCCG
rnacentral:lncRNA from 1 species